GGAGGAUCCAAGCGUUAUCCGGAAUCAUUGGGUUUAAAGGGUCCGUAGGCGGUUUUGUAAGUCAGUGGUGAAAGCCCAUCGCUCAACGGUGGAACGGCCAUUGAUACUGCAAGACUUGAAUUAUUGGGAAGUAACUAGAAUAUGUAGUGUAGCGGUGAAAUGCUUAGAGAUUACAUGGAAUACCAAUUGCGAAGGCAGGUUACUACCAAUAUAUUGACGCUGAUGGACGAAAGCGUGGGGAGCGAACAGGAUUAGAUACCCUGGUAGUCCACGCCGUAAACGAUGGAUACUAGCUGUUCGGAGCAAUCUGAGUGGCUAAGCGAAAGUGAUAAGUAUCCCACCUGGGGAGUACGUUCGCAAGAAUG
rnacentral:rRNA from 1 species